rnacentral:rRNA from 1 species
GAAAAUUCCUGUACUAUCCUGUAACAGAACUGUGGGGACACAGGCAGAGAGCGUGAGCCGGGAAUGGAAAGACCGGUACAAGCGAGGUAGGAGAAGAGUUGGCAAAUCCGCUCUUUAAUCUGAAGACGUGAUGUGGACUGAAAAUAAGUAGGGAAGCACGUGAGCUGACUGUCAAGAAAAGCCGCUAUUGUUUGCAGGAUACCCGUACCGUAAACCGACACAGGUGGAUGAGGAGAGAAUCCUAAGGCCGACGGGAGAAGCAUUGUUAAGGAACUCGGCAAAAUGACUCCGUAACUUCGGGAGAAGGAGUGCCAGUAAGAUGGCCGCAGAGAAUUGGCCCAAGCAACUGUUUAGCAAAAACACAGGUCUAUGCAAAACCGAAAGGUGAGGUAUAUGGGCUGACGCCUGCCCGGUGCUGGAAGGUUAAGGGGAGAGGUUAGCGCAAGCGAAGCUUUGAACUUAAGCCCCAGUAAACGGCGGCCGUAACUAUAACGGUCCUAAGGUAGCGAAAUUCCUUGUCGGGUAAGUUCCGACCCGCACGAAAGGCGUAAUGAUUUGGGCACUGUCUCAACAAUGCACCCGGUGAAAUUGAAAUACCAGUGAAGAUGCUGGUUACCUGCGCCAGGACGGAAAGACCCCAUGGAGCUUUACUCCAGCCUGAUACUGGGAUUCGGUAUUGCAUGUACAGGAUAGGUGGGAGGCUAGGAAAUGGUAACGCCAGUUGCCAUGGAGCCAAUGUUGGGAUACCACCCUUGCAGUACUGGGUUUCUAACCAGCAGCCGUGAUCCGGCUGGGGGACAAUGUCAGGUGGGGAGUUUGACUGGGGCGGUCGCCUCCGAAAGGGUAUCGGAGGCGCUCAAAGGUUCCCUCAGAAUGGUUGGAAACCAUUCGAAGAGUGCAAAGGCAGAAGGGAGCUUGACUGCGACACCGACGGGUGGAGCAGGUACGAAAGUAGGACUUAGUGAUCCGGUGGUAUAAAGUGGGAUUGCCAUCGCUCAACGGAUAGAAGCUACCCUGGGAUAACAGGCUUAUCACUCCCAAGAGUUCACAUCGACGGAGUGGUUUGGCACCUCGAUGUCGGCUCAUCGCAUCCUGGGGCUGAAGUAGGUCCCAAGGGUUGGGCUGCUCGCCCAUUAAAGCGGUACGCGAGCUGGGUUCAGAACGUCGUGAGACAGUUCGGUCCCUAUCCGGCGUGGGCGUAAGAUAUUUGAGAGGAGCUGUCCUUAGUACGAGAGGACCGGAAUGGACUGGCCGCUGGUGUAUCUGUUGUCUUACCAAAGGCAUAGCAGAGUAGCCAAGCCGGGAAGGGAUAAACGCUGAAGGCAUCUAAGCGUGAAGCCCCCCUCAAGAUGAGAUAUCUCAUAACGUCAAGUUAGUAAGACCCCUUGAAGACGACGAGGUAGAUAGGGCAGAGGUGGAAGUGUGGUAACACAUGGAGCUGACUGUUACUAAUAGGUCGAGGGCAUAACC